rnacentral:lncRNA from 1 species
GUCAACAGCGCAGAGCCACUCUGCUGUUUCCAGACACUUGUUUGAGUGAUACGUGCAAAGCCAUCGAGGAAUGUAGCAGAUCCGAGGGGACUGUCAUUUAAGAGGAUCCACGCUCAGAAGGCUGCUGUGUUUUUAAAUAACAGGUGCUUCUGCAAGAGCUGGUAUUAUCGUCCAGCAUGAUCGUCAUCUUCAGACCUGGGAAGACGCGAGCCGUCACGGACCAGGUGCCGGGCCUGCUGUCGCACAGUUCGCGAAAUUUCCGACGUUCAUGGCAAUACUUCCUUCGGACCUUUCCAGCCUUCUGUACACCUUCAUUUUGCUUCCGCCCUCCUGCAAGGCAUGCAAGGCAUGCGAUCCUGCCCUGGCUUCACUGCGGAGGGAAGGGGUUUGACCCAAAGCUGCUGGGAAGGAGGCACCCUGCCAGGUGACCCUCCAAUCAACUUUCUCAUGCGGCUCUCCAUUCCAGAGUCUGUUCCAGACCGUGUGCCUCCAGUCUAUUCUCAGCUUCCUCCAUCAUAACACUUGUCACGCCUGCUUACUCUCCUGCCUCUAGUGCCUACUGUAGUGCCUUGAACCCUGGCACAUAGUAGUUGCUCAAUUAGUGAUAGAUUGUUGAAUGAAUGGUGAAAUGGAUGUCAGUUGAAGAGACAGAAUGCCUCUCAGGCCAGAGUAAGACCUAAUGGAAAAAAGGACCAUAUCCAAAGAAAGAAGGGGGCUGGACAGCCUCAGAAUAAUAAUGAAAGGCAAAUCUUUGAACAGUGCCCAUGCAAGCACCAUACAGGAGGAGGUGCCUUAGCCAUGGAAUUUUGCUUAUUCUGAUUCCAGUGUCUAUUGUGGAGAUGUAACAAAGAGGUCUCUAGAGCCUGUGGACUGAAGUGGUCCUCUGUGGGAUUUCAUAUGGAAUCUGGGAUGCUUCUUGCUCUCAGGGACCCUGGGAAGGCAAUUUGUGUCUACAGAAGAGUUCUGAGCCUCAAGUUCAGAAAUACUGGUUAGAACUAAAUUUGUUUCUUAUGGCUUGGAAUAAAACCAUUUGUAUACUUUAAAAAAAAUCCUUUGUAUGUAGGAUUUACCUCCAUUUUACUUCAGGAGAAACUGAAGCAUAAGAUUACCAUCACCAUAAUCAUUAUGAAGUCUUUUGUAGCAACGACCUGUUCUCUACUCCGCCUUUAUGGAAAAUUUCACAUUGUAAUCCCCACUCUAGUGGGUGGAUGGUAUUAUGUCAGACAGUGGCAGACAUAUUGACCCCAUCAAUGUAUAGGUGUUACACUUCAUAGAUUUUAAUAUGUACAUUUUUUCCUCACAUUUAUCAUCUCUGAAAAUGGGACAAAUCUUAUAAUCGAUGUCAUGUCAUAGUUUAAACUGGA